rnacentral:rRNA from 1 species
UGGGGGAUAUUGCACAAUGGGCGAAAGCCUGAUGCAGCGACGCCGCGUGGGGGAUGAAGGCCUUCGGGUUGUAAACUUCUUUUGCUCUGAACAAGGCAUGCCUUUGGGGUGUGUUGAGUGUAGGGGUUGAUUAGCGCCGGCUAACUACGUGCCAGCAGCCGCGGUAAUACGUAGGGCGCGAGCGUUGUCCGGAAUUAUUGGGCGUAAAGGGCUCGUAGGUGGUUCGUCGCGUCUGUCGUGAAAGCCAGCAGCUUAACUGUUGGUCUGCGGUGGGUACGGGCGGGCUUGAGUGCGGUAGGGGGGACUGGAAUUCCUGGUGUAGCGGUGGAAUGCGCAGAUAUCAGGAGGAACACCGAUGGCGAAGGCAGGUCACUGGGCCGUUACUGACACUGAGGAGCGAAAGCGUGGGGAGCGAACAGG